rnacentral:rRNA from 1 species
CCCAAUGUCCCAAAGGACAUUCUGAAAAUGUCCUUUUAAGAAAUGUGUUUUCUUGGAAGCUAAGCAGGGUUGGGCCUGGUUAGUACUUAGAUGGGAGACCACCUAGGAAGACCGGUGCUGUAGGCG